AUACGGAGGUUGCAAGCGUUACUCGGAAUCACUGGGCGUAAAGCGCGCGCAGGCGGCUAUUUAAGUUGGAUGUGAAAGCCUACGGCUCAACCGGAGAACUGCAUCCAAAACUAUUUAGCUAGAGUGUGAGAGAGGAAGAUGGAAUUAGUUGUGUAGGGGUAAAAUCCGUAGAGAUAACUAGGAAUACCAAAAGCGAAGGCAAUCUUCUGGAACACUACUGACGCUGAGGCGCAAAAGCGUGGGGAGCAAACAGGAUUAGAAACCCCUGUAGUCC
rnacentral:rRNA from 1 species